rnacentral:lncRNA from 1 species
GCUGGCCUCCGCCUGUGACAGCACAGGAGACGAGGUGGAGUGCGAGGCCCACAGCGUCCUCAGCGGGGCGCCCCGCGGAGCCCUGCAGAGGCCCUCUUGCCUUUAGUGAACUGCGGGGACCUGGCCAAUGCCGGCAGGGGCCAGCGCAGAAAAGCCUGGGAGAUGCGCGUCCAGGGCCGCGAGUGCAGGGAAGCUGCGGGACCGCAGAGUCCGCUCGGCAGCCGGUAGUCAGGGCGCCGGGGCGUUAGGCUUCAGAUUUACUUCAAUGUUCCUAAUGGGCUUGCUUCAGAAGUGCUCACUGUUCUCGCCACCUGAGGAACCGCAUUUUCAUGUAUUUGUAUUGGGACAAGACGCGGAGUCCGGUGUGUAAAGGGCCUGCUUUGAGGGAAGAAAGGCCGCAGCCCAGGAGAAACAGGGCCUGUGGAUUUGGAGAAGGGAGCGGGGCAGGACUUCUCGCGAGGACCCCAGCCCAGCCCACAGAGGGAGGGCGAAGCAGCCGGAGC